rnacentral:rRNA from 1 species
GAUGAACGCUGGCGGCGUGCCUAAUACAUGCAAGUCGAGCGAACAGAUGAGGAGCUUGCUCCUCUGACGUUAGCGGCGGACGGGUGAGUAACACGUGGAUAACCUACCUAUAAGACUGGGAUAACUUCGGGAAACCGGAGCUAAUACCGGAUAAUAUAUUGAACCGCAUGGUUCAAUAGUGAAAGACGGUUUUGCUGUCACUUAUAGAUGGAUCCGCGCCGCAUUAGCUAGUUAGUAAGGUAACGGCUUACCAAGGCAACGAUGCGUAGCCGACCUGAGAGGGUGAUCGGCCACACUGGAACUGAGACACGGUCCAGACUCCUACGGGAGGCAGCAGUAGGGAAUCUUCCGCAAUGGGCGAAAGCCUGACGGGGCAACGCCGCGUGAGUGAUGAAGGUCUUCGGAUCGUAAAACUCUGUUAUUAGGGAAGAACAAAUGUGUAAGUAACUAUGCACGUCUUGACGGUACCUAAUCAGAAAGCCACGGCUAACUACGUG